AGUUCUUGUGCUAUGACUGGACAACUGCAACUCUUCUGUUUCAUCACAAAUGACUUUAGGGCCAUUUGAGGAAAGGACAGGAACCCUGGCAGUUUCCUGAAACCUUCCGUUGACACCUUCUGAUAAGAGCAAGGGAGCACCUGUGGCGGUAACAGCGGUGGGAGAUCUGAAGGCCGCAGAACGAGCAGACCUUCCAGAAAUGCUCUGUGAUGGAGGUGACAGAGGCUUCCACCAGAGUGAACAAUGACUCUGAGUGAAAAGUAAGAUAAUGAAGCCUCUGAGAGGAAAAGUGACCAGAUGGGCUGGGCCCUGGCUGUAGAGACAUUUCUUAAUAUCUAUGUUUUGCUUGUAUUUUCCUUUUUCUUUUCUUCUCACGCAGCUCAGACUCAUCUCCAACUCACCACGUAGCUAAGGGCGGCCUUGAACUUCUCCUCCUCCACCUCCCAAGUGCUGUGAUUACAGGUGCCUUGCUCUGGGACAGCCAGCAUCCAAGAUGAAGACACUAAGGGAUCCAAAGAGGUGCACUGAGGCUUGUUGCCAAUAGGCAGCGACAUGAAUGAGCUGUGCUAGAAAUGGAUUGUCCAGUCCAUCAAGACUGCAGGUGACCAUGGUCCCAGGGACUGUUUUCCCUGAAGCCUGCACAGUGUUGGGAGCCAGGGAUUCAGAAGGGAGAUGGCCCGGUUUCUCCCUCCUGUGGCUGGUGAGCUGAUGCGGAUCUGGACAGGCACAUGUAUGCCCACAGGAUGCACAGUGAGUGUUGGUUUGUGGCCUGAGCACAGGGACUGCCAUGGGGUGGGGGAAGGAAAUAAGCAGACAGAAGAGAAGCCCUUCAGGAAGGAGUGGGUAGCCAGGGUCAGGGGUGAGAGGAAAACCUACUUUCCUUUCGAUGGCCUUUUGGCCCAUUUGGAUGUUUACUUUUCACCAAGUGUACACAGCAGAGUCAAUCAAUGGAACAAACAAUCACGGUUAAAUAAACGAUUCAGAGAGCAGGUGCUUUUGUAACUCCAAAAAUGCUGCCUGCUGUUCCAUGUGGUGAAAUGCCCAUUUCCCAGUGUCUUGGGCCAUUUUCUGUUGCUAUAAUAAAAUACUUGCGAUUUGGUGAUCUAUAAAGUAAAGAGAUAUGUUUAGCACAUGAGUCUAAAGGCAGGGGAGUUCAAGAACAUGGUGCCAGCAUGUGGUAAGGACCUUUGGGCUGUAUCAGAGCAAGGUAGAGGGCAUUACAUGAUGAGAAAGACCAGUGGUGCUCUAUAGAGCUUGGUUUUAUAACAAAGCCACUUCUGUGAUAACCCGUUACCCUAUAAAUCCACAAACAGGUGACCUCCAUUCAACCAUCCCAAGAGGUUCCACCUCUUAAGACUGCUGUGUUGGGAACCACAUUUCCAACACAUACAAAAUUUGGGAGACAAAAUGAAACCCUGCCUCCCUGUGCCUUACUUCUUCCCAGCACCUCCACAUGUGCCCCAUCUGAUCUGCAUCAGUCUCCUCCUCCUGGGGUUCCAGGAGGCUUCUGGGCCUUCUGACUCUUUUGUUGCAUUCUGCAAAAGGAAGAACCGACUGAGAUGAAAAGAGGGAGUGAAAUGCUUAGAUUUUGCCUUGGGGCUGGAGAGCUGGCUUAGCAGUUAAGAGCAUUGGCUGCUCUUGCAGAGAAC